rnacentral:lncRNA from 14 species
CAGUCAACCAGCAAUGCUUGGAAGGUGAGAAGGAGCUCCCAUGGAGGCAGUUCUCUGAAGAUCUGUGUGGUCAGCCAUGGCAUUUUUCCUUCUUUAUUAAUUUCUCUCAGAUGAAAGAGAAGAUUUCACCAUUCAGUUCCCUAAAUGAUGCUUUUUCUGAGGAAGUCAUUGUGGUUUCAAACUCCUACAUAUAUUACUAAUCAUUUUCAGCAUGCCCACCCUCGAGGAAGUAAGGCCUCUUCAUGUAAGCAGGAGACAAGGAGGGCUGCAGAACCUGUGCUGUACCGGUGAAGGGCACAUGCCUUCAGGGCUGCAAGGUUCCAGGCCUCUCAGGCAAGCAGCACAAUGAUUCUUCCUAUUCGGUUUGUACUAUUAUGUAAAAGUGCAAGAAGAGAUCUGUU